UACGUAGGAUGCAAGCGUUGUCCGGAAUUAUUGGGCGUAAAGAGCGCGCAGGCGGUCUAUCAAGUCAGAUGUGAAAUAUCCGGGCUUAACCCGGAGGGGUCAUUUGAAACUGGUAGACUAGAGUACAGCAGAGGAUAGCGGAAUUCCCGGUGUAGUGGUGAAAUGCGUAGAUAUCGGGAGGAACACCGAUGGCGAAGGCAGGUCUCUGGGCAUUAACUGACGCUGAGGAGCGAAAGCAUGGGGAGCGAACAGG
rnacentral:rRNA from 1 species